rnacentral:rRNA from 4 species
GCGACCCCAGGUCAAGCGGGACUACCCGCUGAAUUUAA